UACGUAGGGUGCGAGCGUUGUCCGGAAUUACUGGGCGUAAAGUGUGCGCAGGCGGCCGCGCAAGUCGAGUGUGAAAGCCCCGGGCUUAACUUGGGAAUUCGCGCUCGAAACUACGUGGCUGGAGUGUGGCAGAGGAAGGUGGAAUUCCACGUGUAGCGGUGGAAUGCGUAGAGAUCCGGAAGAACACCGGUGGCGAAGGCGGUCUGCUGG
rnacentral:rRNA from 1 species